AUUGAACGCUGGCGGCAUGCCUUACACAUGCAAGUCGAACGGCAGCACGGGAGCAAUCCUGGUGGCGAGUGGCGAACGGGUGAGUAAUAUAUCGGAACGUGCCCAGUCGUGGGGGAUAACGUAGCGAAAGCUACGCUAAUACCGCAUACGAUCUACGGAUGAAAGCGGGGGACUCGUAAGGGCCUCGCGCGAUUGGAGCGGCCGAUAUCAGAUUAGGUUGUUGGUGAGGUAAAAGCUCACCAAGCCUGCGAUCUGUAGCUGGUCUGAGAGGACGACCAGCCACACUGGAACUGAGACACGGUCCAGACUCCUACGGGAGGCAGCAGUGGGGAAUUUUGGACAAUGGACGCAAGUCUGAUCCAGCAAUGCCGCGUGCAGGACGAAG
rnacentral:rRNA from 1 species